rnacentral:rRNA from 1 species
UACGUAGGGUGCAAGCGUUAAUCGGAAUUACUGGGCGUAAAGCGUGCGCAGGCGGUUUUGUAAGUCUGUCGUGAAAUCCCCGGGCUCAACCUGGGAAUUGCGAUGGAGACUGCAAGGCUAGAAUCUGGCAGAGGGGGGUAGAAUUCCACGUGUAGCAGUGAAAUGCGUAGAGAUGUGGAGGAACACCGAUGGCGAAGGCAGCCCCCCUGGGUCAAGAUUGACGCUCAUGCACGAAAAGCGUGGGGAGCAAACAGGGAUUAGAAAACCCG